CACUCUGCAUUGAGAAAUCGUGGCUUACGUCACAUGCCUCCAUUGAAACGUCUAAUCGGUCAGCAUACACCAGGUCCAUUAAAUAUUGCGUUGUGUUUCUUGGUGCCAUGGCUACUGUUAGGUAACUUUGAUUCCCCGUAGCUGUACUGUCGACACGGUCCGGACUCAGCUGCGGUCUCGCCGACCAGACACGGACCCUUCGCCUCCUUUCGCCCAUAUUUGCGCGCAGGAAUGUCCUCCUCUUUGGUUUUGACCACUUUUUCUUGUGAACAGGCGCGGUCUUGAUGUCCUUCUGGUAGUUUCCUUUCAUUGUCGUGAUUUCAAGACACAUUACCAAGAAGAAAAAAA